rnacentral:rRNA from 1 species
AAUGAACGUUGGCGGCAUGGAUUAGGCAUGCAAGUCGCGCGAGAAGUCUCAACUAGCUUGCUAUGAGAGACGGACAGCGGCGAAAGGGAGAGUAACGUGUGGUUACGUGCCUUUGGGACCAGGAUAGUAGCGGGAAACUGCUAGUAAUACUGGAUGAUAUCUACGGAUCAAAUGGUGAGAUUCCGCCCAGAGAUCGGACCGCAUACUAUUAGCUUGUUGGCGGGGUAAUGGCCCACCAAGGCUGCGAUGGUUACCGGGUGUGAGAGCAUGGCCCGGCUCACUGGGACUGAGACACUGCCCAGACACCUACGGGUGGCUGCAGUCGAGAAUCUUUGUCAAUGGGCGAAAGCCUGAACAAGCGAUGCCGCGUGCGGGAUGAAGGCCCUCGGGUUGUAAACCGCUGUCAGUUGUUAGGAAAUGUAUGAGGGCGCUCUCUCAUAUUUGACCGAUCAUCAGAGGAAGGACGGGCUAAGUUCG